AUUGAACGCUGGCGGCAGGCCUAACACAUGCAAGUCGAGCGGAUGAAGGGAGCUUGCUCCUGGCUUCAGCGGCGGACGGGUGAGUAAUGCCUAGGAAUCUGCCUGGUAGUGGGGGAUAACGUCCGGAAACGGGCGCUGAUCCAGCAUACGUCCUGAGGGAGAACGUGGGGGAUCUUCGGACCUCACGCUAUCAGAUGAGCCUAGGUCGGAUUAGCUAGUUGGUGGGGUAAAGGCCUACCAAGGCGACGAUCCGUAACUGAUCUGAGAGGAUGAUCAGUCACACUGGAACUGAGACACGGUCCAGACUCCUACGGGAGGCAGCAGUAGGGAAUAUUGGACAAUGGGCGAAAGCCUGAUGCAGCCAUGCCGCGUGUGUGAAGAAGGUCUUCGGAUUGUAAAGCACUUUAAGUUGGGAGGAAGGGCAGUAAGUUAAUACCUUGCUGUUUUGACGGUACCAACAGAAUAAGCACCGGCUAACUUCGUG
rnacentral:rRNA from 1 species